UAGCAAUCACCAUGCCUGAAAAAUUUGUAAAGCUAGGUAAUUAUAUCUGAAGCUUUGUUUUUGUAAAAAUACUUUCAAAUACUUCAUUAAUAAGAACUACACUUCUUCUUAAUUCUUUCCUCCACUAUCUGGAGUACCACUACUUUUGUAGUGUAGCACGGAUAAGCAACUGAUUGAUACUAUAAGCCACUGUGUGCAUGUGCAGGAAUAUUUUACAGUAAAUAAGAUCGGUGCACAAACCAGUAUUAUUUCGCCUAAAGUUAAUUGUUUAAUAUACUGGUGUAAAGGAUAUAAACACAUCCUGGCGUACCCACCACCAAUUUACAACGCAACGGCAGUUGGUCUUGUCCAAAAUGAGCUAAGGCUGCGAUCCCAGCUGGGUGCUCAAUUAAAACAUAAACUUGAGUGUUAUUAAAAUAACUUCAUGCAAAAUCACUUUUGUACAAGUGCAGGAAACUGUUCCAUCACCAUAUUAUAUACAUUUGUACUCCAUUUAAGGCACACAUGUUAUUAUGUCAAUUAUACACUUAUCAAUGUAUAUUACUUUAAAAGUUCAUGCACUGUUUACACUAAUAUUUUCUACCUCUAAAGAAAUAAAACACUACAUACUCAAGUACGUGCAUUACUUUCUUGUAGAUACAUCUGUUUGUUAUUUACAGUCCCCUUUAUCAUUAAACAGUUAAAGUUGCAAUUUUGUCAUUUAUAAUUUUCAGAUCAAUUUUGCACAUCUUGGAGAGAAAGUAAAACAAACAAUGGAAUGUAGCAAAGUGGACAUUAUUCCUGAUGAGUGCUGAAUAUGAAGAUUGUUUGAACGGCGGUAUACAACUGCAUGUUGCCUUUAUUUGAUAAAUUUACUGAUAGGAUAAAUCUAUAAUUGUUUAUUUUAAACUGACUUUGAAAUAACCAAUAGAAUUUCCAUAACAACAUGUACAUGUAGUUUCUUCCAUUUUCAAGCUGAUUUAAUCAUUCAUAAUGUACGUGAUCAAGAACAGAAUCCUCUAUAAACUGGUGGUCCCAAGAUUUGACAAUCAAAUAUUUUAAAGGACUUAUAUAUGGCUGGUUAUUUUUUGCAAUAGAAAUUAUAGAUCAUUAUAGUGAGAGUAGGUUUUCUUGUAGGAACAUCAGGAAAAAAUAUUUCCAAGAACUCUAGUCUGCAAGCAUGCAUUCCACAACUCACUGGUCAGUGAUUUUUUGGUAUUUCAGAUCAUAGAAAAUUGCCAGAUAUUAUGAUGAUCUUAUCAAUUAAAGAUAUAUUACCGUAGCUAUCUUUUUUUUUUUGUUCUAACCACAACCAUAUUUGGCUAUGAGUGAAUAUAAUUUCAUUUAUUCAUAAUUUCUAUUAUUCAUUAUUUUGCAACCCUGCAAAUUAAAACAGAUCUGGAGACAUUGUUCAUUGUAUACUUAUUAAAAUUUACUUUUUAUAAUGAUAAAUUGUUACUCAUAAAAUUUUAUAGUUUUUUAACUAAUGAUUAUUCCAUUAUUGUAUUUUCUAGCACUUCUUUUUAACAUGAUGGAGUUGCGAAAAUUUACCACUGUUCUAUGGACAACUGAAGGAGAAUAAUUUCAUUUGUC
rnacentral:lncRNA from 1 species